UACAGAGGGUGCGAGCGUUAAUCGGAAUUACUGGGCGUAAAGCGCACGUAGGUGGCGACGUAAGUCGGGUGUGAAAGCCCCGGGCUCAACCUGGGAAUUGCAUUCGAGACUGCAUUGCUGGAGUACGGAAGAGGAAGGCGGAAUUCCCGGUGUAGCAGUGAAAUGCGUAGAUAUCGGGAGGAACAUCUGUGGCGAAGGCGACACCCUGGACCAGCACUGACGCUGAGGCACGAAAGCGUGGGGAGCAAACAGG
rnacentral:rRNA from 1 species